rnacentral:rRNA from 1 species
GACGUAGGGCGCGAGCGUUGUCCGGAUUUAUUGGGCGUAAAGAGCUCGUAGGCGGCUUGUCGCGUCGUUCGUGAAAACCUGCAGCUCAACUGCAGGCUUGCGGUCGAUACGGGCAGGCUAGAGUUCGGUAGGGGAGACUGGAAUUCCUGGUGUAGCGGUGAAAUGCGCAGAUAUCAGGAGGAGCACCGGUGGCGAAGGCGGGUCUCUGGACAGUUCCUGACGCUGAGGCACGAAGGUCAGGGGAGCAAACGGG